AUAUACAUUUUUUUAAAAACUAUCUUCCCACUUCAGUUCCCAUUUAAGCCCUGAGUACUCAAUACUCUCUCUCAACAGAGUGACGAAAGGCGGCAACAGGGUUAAGCCGACAACAACGAAUGGUGAACGGAGAACGGCACCCAACAACGAACUGUUGGCGAAAGUGGAGAAACUACAAUUGACCUUUGCCAUUGAAGAUCCGAGUUGAUCAUGGAUAAAAGUUGGAUGCAUGAACCAAAGUUCACUAAAACAUAUAUUGAGGGUGUCCAAUAUUUUAUGCGGCUUGUUCGAUCUCACUUUGACCAAAAUACCAAAGUUCGAUGCCCAUGUACAGAUUGCUUAAAUGUAUUUUUUCAAACACAAGAAGUAGAGCAUGUCCAUUUAUUGCUUGAAAGAAUUAUGGAAUGUUACGUUGGAGACACCAUGGGGAACAAUCACAAAUGAGAGAUAACAAUGAAGCAAUUUACAAUGAAUAUGAAAAUGAAGCCCAUGAUAAGGAUGAUGGAAUUCGUACUAUGUUAAAAGAGGUAGCUAAAGGAUCUUUUGCCAAUUAUUCGGAGGAGACUGGUAAUAAGAUGUGUUGUAAUAGGAGUGAGAAAGAAGCUACAACAUUUGACAAAUUGCUGAAAGAAGCUGAACGUGAAUUAUACUCGGGAUGUAAGAAAUUUUUGAAGCUUUCAUUUCUUGUAAAGUUGCUACACUUGAAAGUAUACAAUCAGUGGAGUAAUAAAUCGUUUGAUAUGUUGUUGGAGUUGCUAAAAGAGGCAUUGCCUAGUGACGAGACACUUCCUAAGUCAUAUUAUGAUGCUAAAAACAUAUUGCAGGGUUUGGGAUUAGGAUAUAUUUUGAUCCAUGCUUGCAAAAAAUGAUUGUGUGUUGUACCGGUUUGAACAUAAAGAUAGACAAGAGUGUCCACAUUGUGGUACUUCGAGGUGAAAAAUUGACAAUGAAAAUGAUAAAAGGAUUCCUCAUAAAGUUUUGUGAUAUUUUCCAUUAAAUUCGAGACUUUAAAGGUUAUUUAUGUCUAGUAAAACAAGUGUGGACAUGAGGUGGCAUACAGAGAAACGUCUUGAUGAGGAGAAUGUAUUAAGGCAUCCUACUGAUUCUGAAGCAUAGAAAGAGUUUGACAAGAAUCAUCAGUGGUUUGCACAAGAACCUCGUAAUAUUAGACUCGGUCUUGCAACAAAUGGUUUUAAUCCAUAUGGUAACAUGAGCACUUCAUAUAGUAUGUGGCCUAUCAUUCUUGUUCCUUAUAAUCUUCCUCCAUGGAAAUAUUUUAAGGACCCAUUUAUGAUGAUGUCAUUACUUGUUCUUGGUCCCCAAGCACUAGGAAAAGAUAUUGAUAUUUAUUUGCGUCCUUUGGUUAAUGAAUUGAAAGAGUUAUGGAGUGAUGGUGUAGAGACAUUCAAUGCAUCAACUGGAGAAUGCUUCAAAAUGCAUGCUGCUGUUUUAUGGACCAUAAAUAACUUUCCAGAUUAUGACAAUUUAUCUGGAUGGAGCACUAAGGGAUACAUGGCAUGUCCUACUUGCAAUAAGGAUGCAUCUUCACAAAGGUUAAGAGGUAAAAUUUCUUACACGGGUCACCAUCGGUAUCUUGAAUCCAGUCACUCUUGGAGAAGAAGCAAGAAAUUUGAUGGAAAGAUAGAAAAAAGAAUGAAGCCAAAAGAGCUCUUAGGUGAUAAUGUCUUGCAACAAUUGGAUUUACUCAAUACUUAUAGACUAGGAAAAUACUCAAAUAAUAAAAGAAAGAAACGUAUUCCUGAAGAGUUGAAUUGGGUGAGGAAAAGCAGUCUAUUUGAGUUGCCCUACUGGAAGAACUUGAAGUUGCGACAUAAUUUAGAUGUCAUGCACAUAGAAAAUAACAUUUGUAAGGCUAUUUUGGGGAUAUUAUUGAAUAUUGAGGAGAAAACUAAAGAUACAUAUAAAGCAAGACAAGACCUAGAGGAUAUGAACAUAAGAAAAGAACUAUGGUUGCAACAUGAUGGUUCUAAUUAUACAAUGUUUGAUGCUUGUUAUAAUAUGUCAAAAAAAGAGAAAAAAAGUUUUGGGCAUUGUUAAAGUCUGUUAAAUUUCCUGAUGGUUAUGCUUCAAAUAUCUCAGGAUGUGUAAAUAGGGAUGAUGGUAAGAUCAUAUUUUGUUACAUCGAGUGCUGACUAUUGCUAUUCAUGGAUUUAAAAAUAAAGAUGUCGCUUUAGCAUUGAUUAAGUGAUUUUUUCUAUUAUUAUGUUGUAAAACAUUAAGACGAGAUGACUUGGAACAACUAGAAAGGGAUAUAGUUGUUAUAUUAUGUAAGCUUGAAAUAAUCUUUCCACCUAUUUUUUUAGAUGUUAUGGUACAUUUUGUUGUGCAUUUACCACGAGAGGCAAUGUAUGUGGGACCAGUACAAUAUCAUUGGAUGUACAAAAUCGAGAGGUUCUUGUGCAAGCUCAAGCGUUAUGUCUGAAACAAGGCACGACCUGAAGGUUCUACUGCUGAAGGCUAUAUUAUUGAUGAAUGUUUGACAUUUUGAUCUAUGUAUCUUGAUGACAUUAAGAAUAGAUUUAAUCAUAAAGACAGAAAUGAUGAUGGAUCUAGCAAUAAUGAUGGGCCUAUUUUAGAAAUAUUUUCAAAAAGUGUUAGACCAUUUAAAGAUGGAGAUUAUGAUAUCAUACCAAAGAAAGAUUUUGACAUGGCUCAGUGGUAUGUGUUGAAUAAUUGCGAAGAAGCAGAACCUUUUCUUGAAGAGCAUAAAGAAGAGCUAUUGAAGCAAGGUGUUGUGGAUAUAGAAGAUAUACGCAGAGAAUAAUUUCCUUUGUGGUUCAGAAGGAAAAUUAUGCAGUUAUUUAAUAAGCAGAAGUCAAGGUCUAUCAUGAAAUAUAUCCUUUUGCUAUGGGUAUGCAUGGAACAAAACGUAUUGAUUGUAUUGUAAAUGGUGUUAGGUACCAUAUUCAGCAACGCGAUGAAUUAUGUAAAAGUCAAAAUUGUGGUACAGCUGUUAGAGGCCUUCAUGAAAAAGUGGUGGUUGAUUUUUAUGGUAUCAUAACUGACAUCCUUGAGUUAGAGUACGCUGAAGAAAAUCAAGUUUUUCUAUUCAAAUGCAAGUGGUUUGAUCUUCGCAAGAAAACAGGGAUGCAAGAAGAUAAAAAUUUUACGAGCAUCUGUGUUAAAAGAUUUUGGUAGGAACAUGAUCCCUUUGUACUAACCACUUAAGCAAAGUAAGUAUUUUAUAUUGAUAACCCAAAAUUGGGGGAAGAUUGGCGAAUUGUGCUCAAAUUUCAAGCUAGGUACAUAUAUGAUGUUCCUGAAAAGGAAAACUCAGAGGUUAAAAAUGAUGAGUUGCUUGUUACGAAUACUGAAGUGUAUCAAGAUACGUCACUUGAAAGUAAAUCAAUUGUUAAUGCUACAGUUGAUAUGUUGAGUCAACUAUAUAGAGAUAAUGUUGAGUCGAUUAUCAUAGAUGCAAAUACAAUUGAAUUUGAGGCUCAAAUAGAAUAUAAAGUUGAAGUUGAUUAUGAUGGAGAUGAUUCUGACCAAGUGGAUGACACUAUAGUUGAGUACAUCAGUGACCAUGAGAAGAAUGAAGGUAAUAAUAGUACUACUAACAAUGAAGCUGAUAGAACAGACGCCAAUGAUAACAUUGACUUGUGAUGUAACCUCAUAAUAAGUAAGGUCAAUUACAUACAUGUUAAUAUAUAACUCUCCUAAAUUAUUUAUAUCUUCUUUAGUUGAUUUUAGGGGGAUGAAUUUCAUAAGUUAUUUGCAGACACGCCUAUUGAGCUGAAUUUUCAUGAAGGACUUUAGGGUGAUAAUAUUACUUACCACACACUUAUUGGUCGCAUUGGUUGUACCUUAUUGGUCUUUUCAGAACUUGGAGAACAAGAGUUGAUUGGAGAACCUCUAAGUGCCAAUCUAGAUUCUUAACAUAGAUUUUGAUGCGGUGUAUUUAGUAGCAGUACUCUUAGUCUACAAAUUUUUGUUGUUGUUGAUUGAAUUUCAGAGCUUUGUUCGCUUAAUUUUUUCAUUUUUCUGAUGAUAUUGAUCCUAUCGUGAUUACUGAUUCAUGCUUCCAUGUCUAAUCUUUAGCUUAUUUCUCAUAUUUGUUUUUUGGUAUGAUGAUAAUAUUAGUUAAAAAUGAGUUUUUGAGUAACCCGUAAAGUUGCUGCCAUGUGAUUAAGAGGUCAUGAGUUCAAGUUGUGGAAAUAGUCUCUGUAGAAAUGCAGGGUGAGGUUGCUUACAUAGACCUUUAAGGUCUGGCUCUUCUUAAGACCCCGCUCACAGUGGGAACUUUAGUGCACUAGGCUACUCUUUAUGAUAAUAUUAGUUGAGGGUGAAUAAGAAAAUAUGGUCAAUGAAGAUUCAUAUAGUUGGAGCUUAACUUGUUUGGGAUUGGGGUAUAUCUAUAGUUGUUCUGUUGUGAACAUGGAUAGCCUAGAGGCAGGCCAAGCUGCUGGUGCCUUAUGGUUCGGUAUUUUCAUAAUUCUCUUGAAGAAUUUCAUGGGGUAACCAAAAUAGAGUAUCACUUUACCUUGAACUUUUGGCAACCCAAAUGCAAUUGGUUGAUACCGAACAAGAGUGUUUUCCCCCGAGAUUCUUGUUGUCUGAUAAAUGUAUUUAAAUAAACUGCAAUAUUUUAUUUUUUCUCCUCUAGAGGUGUCACUUGGUCGGGUCUGAUAAUAGGGUCAUGGGCUUUUUCUGUAAGGGCUUUGCAAAAUUCUACAUCUGUUGUGCAUUGUGAAGAAAGUUUCUUAUUUCGUUGUUACCUCAUGUUAUGUUUAGGUUAUCAAUUGUAAAGAUGAGAUUGCAUAGGGAUAUUUGAUGGAUUGCCUUAAAGUCUUCCCUGAUGAGUACCAUUUACAAACUCUUGAAACAUUACUAGGUGUUUGCCCGUAAUUUCAGGUUUGGCAGGUUUUUCACUUAUACCUCAUCCUAUGUAUACUGUCUUAGUUCUGUACUGCUUUUUCUUAUCCCUGGCUAUAUCUUAUUUUUGUUAAUGGGUUUCUACAGUCAUGGGAAGUUUUGGUCUACUAUAGUGUACUAGGUUAACAUAUUCUGUAGUCCAAGGCAUGAAUGUCACCUUUUCUGGCUUAAAGGCUUCAUAGUAUAAAGAGUUCAGCUUUUGAACUUUCGUACUCGAUCAAUUGCAUGCAAGUAUUCUUUUUAUCUUACAAUGUAUUUUCAUUUCACUAUUUUUUACCUCAAAUUUAUUCUUCUUAUUGACAAUAUGUUUUUUUCUUGUUGAACAAUUUACUAGAAUAAAUCUUCAACAAUAGAUGAUAGAUGGGAUGUGGAUCGUCUAGAAAAUAAAAGUGAAUAUACACCCGUUGCUCAUCAUAGAGAUUACUUAAGGAGAAGUAUGCGGUUUUCCUCUGAAAGAGUAGUUCUCAGUUUGCCUUCACGAGGUCCCCUGAAGAUGAGGAUGUCAAGAAUGCGUAAGUUCUAGAAGAUUUGUUCCCUCCAUACUCUUAUGUAUAUUUGAAGACUAAUGGAGACACUAUUAAAGCUACGGCCAGUGAUAGAUUUCCUUCUUAAAAAUCAAAAUACAAGAGAUCCUUACCAGUAUCACAUUAUUUGGGGUCAGUGGAGAUUCUCCAUAGGUUAUUGUAUAAAUAGAAGAAGAUGAUCACAAGAAAUUUAGAUUUGACGGGGACAUUACACUCGAGAGGAUUAAGCAUUUAAUGAGGACUUUCUAGACGACAAGCUCAAACCUUUCUAUAAAUUAGAUCCAGUUCCUGAGACAAAUGAUGCUGAUGUGAAAAUCAUUAUUGGGAAUAAUUUUGAUGAAAUUGUUCUAAAUGAGUCAAAAGACGUGCUUCUUGAGAUCUACGCAACAUGGUGUAGGCACUGCCAAGCUCUGGAACCAAUAUUCAAUAAACUAGCAUAUCACUUAAAUGACGAUGAGUCUUUUGUUAUAGCCAAAAUGGAUGGAACAAGAAACGAGCACCCCUGUGCUAAGAUUGAGAACAUGUACCUAAGCACCAACGUAUCUGCUAUUCCAAUUAUACCAGAUUCAGAAGGUCUCGAGAGAUAGUUAUUUUUUAGUUUCUGCUUUGAUAAUCUGCUAUGCUGCUUCUCAUAGAACUCUUGAUAAGUCAUCAUCAAAUGUUGGUUAUGUGAUGCUAAUGUUUGAUCACUUUUAUGAUGGAAAGUCGUCAGGAGUGCGAGAGUGAGCUUAUUGAACGUUUGGCUCGCUUGUCAAAAUGCCUCUACUAAAACCUGAAAGAAAUCCUCCUUGCAAGAUGAGUCAGAAUGUGUUCAGUUAGCAGCAGAAGAGAAAUUCAAAUCCUGCAUCACUGCAUACAAGUCAUUGUGCAAUGCAUUCUCCCCAGCUUAAUAUUGGUUGGGCUUUCCUCGCCUCUCGAACUAGCUUUUGGGUUGAGUAAGAUAUGAAGUCAGAAGUUAUAACACUGAGGUUGAUAUCUGGUUCAGCAAGACAAUUGCUCGACCUUUCACUCUAUUAAGGAAUUUUAGUUCCCCAGCAUAGAUAAGAAUGGCAGUCCUGGCAUAUGCAAGGAUGUUGGCGCUAGAUUGAAUUUUGUUUACGAUACCCAGUUUCUGCUGGUAUCUGAAGAAAGCAUAGCUGACGUCAACUCUAGGCUAAAAUCAAAUUGAAGUUGCAAGAGAAGAUGAAAGUUCAGAGAAUGCACAAGCUCAUUAUUAUUUUGCUAAGAACAUUAUGUAAACUUGACAUCACAUUCUAUCUCAGGAUGUUAAUUGGUUAAGUUUUUUUUUGUUUAGCAAAUAAUGAAACUAUUGACAUCGGGAUGUUAUUAAUUGAUUAAGUUUUUUUGUUUAGCAAAUUAAUAUUGAAACUA